rnacentral:rRNA from 1 species
CGGGAAGAAAGCUUGCUUUCUUUGCCGGCGACCGGCGCACGGGUGAGUAACACGUAUCCAACCUGCCCUUUACUCGGGGAUAGCCUUUCGAAAGAAAGAUUAAUACCCGAUAGCAUAAUGAUUCCGCAUGGUUUCAUUAUUAAAGGAUUCCGGUAAAGGAUGGGGAUGCGUUCCAUUAGGUUGUUGGUGGGGUAACGGCCCACCAAGCCUUCGAUGGAUAGGGGUUCUGAGAGGAAGGUCCCCCACAUUGGAACUGAGACACGGUCCAAACUCCUACGGGAGGCAGCAUG